rnacentral:rRNA from 1 species
UACGAAGGGGGCUAGCGUUGCUCGGAAUCACUGGGCGUAAAGGGCGCGUAGGCGGUUCGUUAAGUCCUGUGUGAAAUCCCCCGGCUCAACUGGGGAACUGCACAGGAAACUGGCGGGCUAGAGUGCGGGAGAGGAGAGUGGAAUUCCUGGUGUAGCGGUGAAAUGCGCAGAUAUCAGGAAGAACACCCGUGGCGAAGGCGGCUCUCUGGAACGCAACUGACGCUGAGACGCGAAAGCGUGGGGAGCAAACAGG